GAAAAGACUUUGAUAGAGAGAGUAGUUAUAAUAAAUACCUUUAAGGGAGAAAAAGCCAUAGACUGUAAGCUUUUUUAAGGAUUAUAUAAUGAAGUUCACUCUGGAGUCCUAACUGUGAAAUAUUAGUAGUAGUUAGCGGUUAUGCCGUUAUAUUUAAAUCGAGUGAACAGUUUUGUUAACUAGGGUGGUACCGCGGAAUACCCCGUCCCUUUU
rnacentral:ncRNA from 1 species